UUCUCCUUCAGUUCGGACUUGUGUUUUCACAUUUAAUUUUAAUUUGUAUUAUUUUAAUUUAUAUGUAAUUAUUUACAAAUCAUUGCUUAUCAGAUACAUCUCGUGCACAAAAAGUGAUUAUAUAAAAUUCUAAAAUGAAACCUUCAAAUUUCUGACUGACUGUGGAACAUCAGCAGCAAGUGAGGAAACUAGUAAAUUCAUGAUGUGUCUGUAUUCAGAACCCUCUCACUGGCAAGCCUUAAAGUUGCUACGCACUCCGGGAAAUAAUUUUGAUUUUUACCACCCAAAAUAAACUCAACUGCUGAGACCUGAACCGCUCGCUCGAUAUUUGACUCGGAGUACUCUAGAGAUUUUAUGGUAGAGAAUAUUGGAGAGUUAGACGAGGAGAAAGUGAAAAAGAUGGCCACCGUUUGUCGAAACAGCGUGGCGGGUGCAGUAUGGGCGGCUUCGGGUGUCGCCGGUCUGGGUGCAGUGAGAUGUAUCCGGAUGUAAUGUUUUCUCUAGUUAGUUCAAUUCAAUUUAUUAUUAUAUUUUCAGUUUCAUAUUUUAUAUUUGUAAGAUGAUUUUGUUACCAUAUUCAUUUACUUUACCGUUUAAUUUCCUUAUCGCUAAAGUUAAAGUCGUCAUUAUGAUUUGUCUUUAAUUCAUAUUAGUUCUUAAUAUUUUAUUUUGUAGUUUUGGUGUAAAAAUGUAUAUACUUACUGUUUAAAUGUUCUAUAUAAGAAUAGAUGUAUUUGUUUAGGUAUAUUAAGGCGUAAUCGGUAGGUAUAUUUGUCGUAAUAAGUGUAAUUCGUUUAUUUUAAAUGUAUUUCUUUGAUAAUCUUCAUUAAGGUUUUCUGGAUAUUGGAAAUAAUAAAAAUGUUAGUAAAUGCAACUAACAUUCUCACAACACUAACCGGAAGCCAGUGAUAAUAUAAUAAAAUACACAAACGACAUAAUUACGCCAUUUAACUAGGAAUAUCCGACCUAUUUACUACAAAUGCUACACGUAGAACAUUGAGCGUAUAGCACGAAGGAAACUUAAUAAAAUGCAAACUCAUAAAUUCGCUAAUGCACAUGAUAAUCAUCCUCAUUAUUCAUGAAUCACCAAACCAUAUGAAUAUAUAAGUUUAGUUAAUCAGUACGUCUUCCUUGCCGUGCUAUAUGCUCAAUGAUGUGUAUGACAAAUUAUUUAAUAAAAUCUUCUUUAACUGAGUCACGAAAUCUCUUCGAGCCGUCUCCAGUACUCUAUAUAUCGACGAUUGGCUCACCGCGUUUAUGUUAUUUUCACAAAUCUUCGUAUAUUUCAUAGAAUUAAGGAUAUAUACAAAUACUCAUUAGGUAACGUAUUGGUAACGAUGUUGUAGUAUCGGUUUGCAAUAUUUAUUAGCUUAUUUACUAUUCGUAUUACAAUUCUUAUCAGUAAUCAGAACUCGAUAGACGAUGGUUCCAGUACUCUUAGAGCCCUUAGUUCUUGUAUCGGAUCUUUUACUUCUAGUCACGAUAACUGUACUCACACGCGGUAGGACUUGCGACCUUCUGAUCUUUAUUUAUUGGAAUAAAUUGUUGGAAAGUAGAAUGACUUAAUCGAAGUAAUAAGUAAUCUACGAGCCUCCUUCGAAGCCCUAAAGUUUACUAGAGCGCCUCUAUUUAAUCUUUCAGAGACGCGCCAUUACGUGUCUUUAAUAAAAAUCUUAUAUUAUAUUUAUUUUUUAUCGUAAUUAGUAUGUAAACGUGUUAAGGGUGAUCGAUAUUCCCCGCACUCUCUAUCGCUAAAGGCAAAGGAACCGUAGUUGUAAAUACAUAGUUCGUACAAGAGUAUUUUAUCUUAGGGUAAGUAAUGUAUAUUAUAAAAAUAUUUUCCGAUUUGCUUGAAAACGUAGUUCUUAGAAUAGGGAUUUUAUAUCCAAGGAUUCCACCGCUGCGGACAUUUAUUUAAAUAUUAUUAUUGAUAUUUAGAUAAAUGCUGUAUUUGAGUGAGGUUGAUGUUUAGCUCUUAAGAUUAAUUUAAUUUUAAAGUACAUAUUAUAGAUACGAUAUCCAUACACCAUGUUACAACUGAUUCAUAAUGACAUUCAAUGUCGCAAUCUUUAAAGUGAACAGUUAAAUAUUAGGAAGACCCAUAUUCACGCAUGCCGUCGAGGCUUGUGGGCAAAACCUCAAUUUUAGUAAUUUUAUAAUUUAAUUAAUUUAAUGAAUCUUCUCCUUAAAUAACUAAUCAAGUUCCAUUAUUUUUCAUUACUUUAACUUUAGUUUUGUCAAUUUAUUUUAAUUUGUAUUAUUAAAAAAAAUCAUUUGGGUACAUUUAAUUGCAAGGGUUUGUAUUUAAAUAAUUUUAUGGUUUUAUUAAAAUUAGUAUUUUUAAUUAGUGUUCAACUUCAUUCUCUCUGUUUUACCACAAUCAUAUUGAAUAUAUUUUUCUUCGAUAAGUUUAAGGUUCACAUAUUCGGAGUAAAUUACAAAAUAGUCUUUUUUCUUUACUUUAUAUUUUAAUAAUAUUAUCUGGCAUUAGUAUUAAAAUUAUAUUAUCGAUAAUUAAGUUAUUUUAUUCAAGUCAUUAAUUUCAAUUAAUUUAAUCUUAUUCCACUUUUAAGAGUAUAUAGAUAAUAUAUUUCUCGUAAUGUUACUUAAUCGUAAUCUCCGUUAUUAGUAUGUAAACGUGUUAAGGGUGAUCGAUAUUCCCCGCACUCUCUAUCGCUAAAGGCAAAGGAACAGUAGUUGUAAAUACCUAGUUCGUACAAGAGUAUUUUAUCUUAGGGUAAGUAAUGUAUAUUAUAAAACAAAUUUUCCGACAUUUGCUUGAAAACGUAGUUCUUAGAAUAGGGAUUUUAUAUCCAAGGAUUCCACCUGCUGCGGACAUUUAUUUAAAUAUUAUUUAAUGAUAUUUAGAUAAAUGUUGUAUCUGAGUGAAGUUAAUGUUAAUUUAAGAAACUAAAAUAAGACACUUUAUUAAUAUUUAAACCGAAAAUAAAAUAUUGAGUUGUUUCCUAAAAUAAAAAAGUAAUGGAAAUUAAAUGUUCCAAAGAUUCAGACGCCCCUCUUUAGUGGACACGUGUUCUCCAGAUUUUCAUUUGUUACACGCAGGUUUUCUAACGACGUCUUCCUGACCAUCUCAAAAAGUAUUGUUCCAAUAUAGUAAAAUAAUGUAGCUACAGUAAACACUUUUGUUUUAAUGUUUUCAAAUUAUUUUUUCAUUCCAUUUCAUUGAGAAAUAAUCCACAAUGUAUAAAUGUCACUGACUUAUAAAAUUUGAACUGGUAAAAGUUGAAACUGGAAACAACCUCAUUUCAACAAAUAUAUUUGGAUUAUUAGUUUUUCAUAUCGUACCUAACCUAAUUUAUUUAUUCGUUCGAAAUAGCCUCGUGUGUUCGUUUAUGAUCUGACUCAUUUAUAUUUAAUUCAGCUCGUCGGGGCUUUAAAAUACUAGCCCAAUACAUUUAUGUGUAAUUGAGAUUCUAUUAAAAUGAAGGAAAGCGUAACUGCCGUUAAAAAGAACAUCUCAACGAGUUGAUUUAUUUAAAUUAUUGACUUAAUUUUCUUUUAAAAUUAAUACUUGGAUCAAGAAAUAUAAUUAUUUUAGUUAAUUCAACUAGCACUAUAACAGCACCACCUGAAAGCCAGCGACGGAGUAUUAUAUUAUAGGAAUAUCGGAGUUGUUAACUGUAAACAUGGAGCAUUGAGCGUAUAGCACGAAAUAAACUUAAUAAAAUGCAAAAUCUUAAAUUCGCUAACUCUCAUGAUAAUCAUCCUCAUUAUUCAUGAAUCACCAAACCGUAUUAAUACAUUCGUUUAGUUAAUAUGUACGUCUUCCUUGCCGUGCUAUAUAGCUCAAUGGUUUAUUUUACAAAAACCUUUUUUGUAUCUUCCUGAGCCGAAAUAUGCAAUCUUUUCGAAUCAAAUAUUAGUUUUGAUUUUUUUACAUAUUAUGUUACAACAAAUUCUGUCUAUACCUUUUUAUAUUCAAACCUCUUUGCUAGACAGGUCUGGAGUUAUUUGGCCUGUGACACUUACAUUCCAAUCAGUUCACCGAGGCUUUAAAAUAUUAGCCAGAUACUUAACUUAGUUCUUAAUAAAUUAACGGAUAGCAAAUACUGUUGUGAUCCAGACUUGGCGUGUUAUGUGUUCAAAUUAUUAGUACAUUAUCUUAAACUGUUCAUUCGCUCUGUUCGUUCGUCUAUCUUAGUUCUUCCAAUUAAUUCUAAAAACAACGUGUUCUGAGAGUUCUUCGUAUCUUUGUUCAAAAAUAAUAUUUGGUUAAUAUUCUUUUUAAAAGGGGACUGCCAUAAUUAUAUCUCGUGUAACAGUUAAGUUUACGUAUCCUAUAUUUAAAAUAAUUUCAUUAAAUCAA